GUCUAUGGCCAUACCACCCAGAACAAACUUGAGCCCAUCUGAUCUCAGAAGCUAAGCAGGGUCGGGCCUGGUUAGUACUUGGAUGGAUGGAAGACCACCUAGGAAGACCAGGUGAUGUAGGCU
rnacentral:rRNA from 1 species